GGAGGGGGAUGGAAUGGGGAAUGGAGAGAAAAGAGAAGGAAAGACCUUUGUAUUUUUAUACAAAAAUACAUGACGUUAAUAGAAAAAAAAAUCACGGAGUUUAACAAAUGAGUUAAUUAAAACCAUCAUAUUGUCAUUAUAAUACGGAAUACCUAUUUUUCUCACUCCUAAAUCCUAACUAACUCAACCUCUGCAAAACAUGAAACUAGUCUCUUGUUCUUGUCGUUGAUACUGCGCAACUUCGAAGUUUGACAACACACCAUCACCGGAUACUCUCGUCGACAUUCUAUUCUUCUAAUCAAAUUAAUGAUUAUCCCGGGUUCAGAAAGGAGAGAAAAUGAGCCCAGAGGAGAUGUUGUGUGAUGAUGGAGGUAAUUCUAUGCUGAUCUCCCCCUCAGUGAAAUGUGAAGAAUUGUUGGAGAUGCCUCUUGUGAACCCUAAACUACCAAGUACAUGGAAAGAUGCUCGUAUGCUUCAUAUGAAAGAGCCUGCCUAUGCUAUUAAAGUUAAAAUGCCAGAAGUAGUGGACGAGGGAACUAGUGUACAGCCUCAUUUCCCGCCGAAUUACAAAACAGUGGAUGGACAUGUUAACUUUCUGGAGAUGCCAGUUUUGAACCCAGAACUACCAAGUGCAUGGAAAGAUAGUUUUAUGUUUCAUCUGAACGAGCCUGCUUGUGCUAUUAAAGUUGAAGUGCCAGAAGUAGUGGGUGAGGGAACUAGUGUACAACCUUGUUUCCUGCCGAAUCACAAGACAAUGUAUGGAAAUGAAGAGUUGCUGGAGAUGGCAGUUGUGGACCCUGAACUAUCAACUGCAUGGAAAGAUAGUGGUAUGCUUUGUCUGGGCGAACCUGCUUGUGCUAUUCCAGUUGAAGUGCCAGAAGUAGUGAAUGAGGGAACUAGUGUACACCCUUGUUUCCUGCCAAAUCACAAGACAAUGGAUGGAUAUGAAGAGUUUCUGAAGAUGCUAGUUGUGAACCCUGAACUACCAAGUGCAGGGAAAGAUAGUGGCAUGCUUUGUCUGAAUGAGCCUGCUUAUGCUAUUAAAGUUGAAGUGCCAGAAGUAUUGGGUGAGGAAACUAGUGCACAACCUUGUUUCCCGCCGAAUCACAAGACAAUAUAUGGAAAUGAAGAGUUGCUGGAGAUGCCAGUUGUGGACCCUGAACUACCAACUGCAUGGAAAGAUAGUGGUAUGCUUUGUCUGGGCGAACCUGCUUUUGCUAUUCCAGUUGAAGUGCCAGAAGUAGUGAAUGAGGGAACUAGUGUACAGCCUUGUUUCCUGCCAAAUCACAAGACAAUGGAUGGAUAUGAAGAGUUUCUGAAGAUGCUAGUUGUGAACCCUGAACUACCAAGUGCAGGGAAAGAUAGUGGUAUGCUUUGUCUGAACAAGCCUGCUUAUGCUAUUAAAGUUGAAGUGCCAGAAGUAGCGGAUGAGGGAACUAAUGUACAGCCUUGUUUCCUGCCUAAUUACAAGACAGUGGAUGGCAACGAAGAGUUUUUGGAUAUGCCAGUCGUGAACCCUGAACGACCAAGUUCUUGGGAUGGUACUGUUAUGCUUCAUUUGAAUGAAUCUGCUUAUGCUACUAAAGUUAAAGUUACAGAAUUAGCAGAUGAGGGAACUAGUGUACGGCCUUGUUGCAUGCAGAGUCACAAGACAGUGGAUGGAAAUGAAGAGUCACUGCAGAUGCCAGUCGUGAACCAUGAACUACCAAUUCCAUGGGAAGAUACUAAUAUGUUUCAACUGAACGAGUCUGCUUAUGGUAUUAAAGUCGAAGUGCCAGAAGUAGCUGAUGAGGGAAAUAAUGUACAACCUUGUUUCCUGCCGAAUCACAAGACAAUGGGUGAAAAUGAAGAGUUGGCGGAUAUGCCGGUCGUGAACCCUGAACUACCAAGCUCUUGGGAUGGUACUGGUAUGCUUCAUUUGAAUGAACCUGCUUAUGCUAUUAAAGUUGAAGUGACAGAAGUAGCAAGUGAAGGAACUAUUGUACAGCCUUGUUGCUUGCAGAAUCAGAAGACAGUGGAUGGAAAUGAAGAGUUGCUGGAGAUGCCAGUCGUGAAGCAUAAACUACCAAAUCCACGGGAAGAUACUAAUAUGUUUCAUCUGAACGUGCCUGGUUCUGCAAUUAAAGUUGAAGUGCCAGAAGUAGUGGAUGAGGGAACUAGUGUACAACCUUGUUUCCUGCCGAAUCACAACACAGUGGAUGGAAAUGAAGAGUUGCAGGAGAUGCCAGUUGUGAAUUGUAAACUACCAAGUGGAGAGAAAGAUACUGGUAUGCUUCAUUCUAACAAACCUGCUUAUGCUAUUAAAGUUGAAGUGGCAGAUGACCCAAAUGUAGUGAAUGUGGGAACUAGUGAACAACCUUGUUUUCUGCCAAAUCAUCCAAUCCCUCCAAAUCUUGUUCAGAAGGAAGUGAUGUGUCCAUCUUGUAAAAGAGAUUUUCCUGUUAGCGGUCUUCCUGCUAGUUGUGACUGUAAAUUGCCUAGACUUGGUGAUAUGCAGGACAAACAUUUGAGUCAAUGUGAAACAAAUUCUAACAUCUUCAAAGAAGCUGUGAUGAAUGAUGUAAAUCAAAUUAAAGAAGAACAUGAUGCUGAUAAUGCUUUCAAGGACAAGAUUCAACAUGUUGUUAGUCCUGGAAAAAGAGGGGUUAAACCAAAAGACACGUCCAAGGCACACAUACGUGCUUGUGUAGUGGGAAAAUUACAUGAGACUAGGGGGCAAAAGGAAGUUUUUAUAGAUAACAAUGAUGACGAACAAGAAACUGGAGUGGAGUGGAAUUGUGCUGGGAAUAACAGAUGUAAUCUUUCACCCAUGACAAAUGACGCUCGUCGUAAAGUUCGUGGCACAUUACGUUUAUUUCAUGGCGUCCUCAGAAAGCUAGUACAAGCCCAAGAAAAAAAGAAAAUGGGUCGAGUGGAUGCUAGCCUCCAACUACAUGCUGCUUUAAAGAUCUUUAAGGAUCAUGGCAAGUAUAUCAAUACAAAAAAAAGGAUGGGACCUGUUCCUGGAGUAGAAGUAGGUGAUCUCUUCAACUACCGCGUAGAACUUGAUAUUAUUGGGCUUCAUAAGCCAAUACAAAGUGGCAUAGACUUUAUCAAGCUAGAUGAUGAAUAUGUGGCUAUAAGCAUCGUGGCUUCUGGUCGUUAUGACAAUGAUAUGGUCAAUUCUGAUGUGUUGAUAUAUACCGGUCAAGGGGGAAAUGUAGCAGGUGGAUGCAAGCAACUUGAAGAUCAGAAGCUUGAACGAGGGAAUCUAGCUCUGAAAAAUAGCAUUGAUAAGAAGAAUUUGGUGAGAGUUAUUCAAGGCUUCAAAGAGAGGAAGAUGACUGGUGGUGUACGUACAACAAUUCCAUCCUACAUUUAUGAUGGGCUUUACUCCGUUAACAGAUAUUGGCAAGAGUCUGGGCGUCAUGGAAUGUUAAUCUAUAAGUUUGAGUUGAGAAGAGUUCCACAUCAGCCAGAGAUCACUUGGAACAAAGUAAAGCAGUCAAAGAAAUCCAAAAAACGGAAAGGUCGCUGUGUAGAUGAUAUUUUACAAGAUAAAGAGACUCCAAUUUGUGCUGAAAUUUCAAAAGGCGAAAAGACUCCAAUUUUUGCUGUGAAUACCAUAGACAAUGAGAAACCCCCGUCAUUUACAUAUAUAACUGAGGUGAUAUACCCUGACUGGUGUCGGCCUAUACCUCCUAAAGGCUGUGAUUGUAAGGAUGGAUGUUUGGAUUCUUUGCGUUGUGCUUGUUCCCUCAAGAAUGGAGGGGAGAUCCCAUACAAUUAUGGUGGGGUAAUUGUUGAGGAGAAAUCGCUUGUGUAUGAAUGUGGGCCUUCAUGCAAGUGUCCACCAACUUGUCACAAUAGAGUAAGCCAACAUGGUAUUAAACUUCCUCUUGAUGUAUUUAAGACUGAAUCCAGGGGAUGGGGUGUCAGAUGUUUAUCUUCCAUUUCAUGUGGUAGCUUUGUAUGCGAGUACAUAGGAGAGCUACUUGAUGACAAGGAAGCCGAAGAAAGAAUUGACAAUGAUGGAUAUUUAUUUGAUAUUGGGCAAAACUACAAUGAUCCCACUCUUCGUGACGGGCUUUCAGCUCUCAUACCUGACAUGCCAUCAAGUUGUAGUGAUGUGGUUGAGAAUAUUGGGUUUACUCUUGAUGCAAGAAUAUAUGGGAAUGUUGGGAGGUUUGUUAAUCAUAGUUGUUCUCCAAACCUUUUUGCGCAGAAUGUCCUUUAUGAUCAUGAGGACAAGAGAAUUCCUCACAUAAUGUUUUUUGCAGCAGAGAAUAUACCUCCCCUGCAAGAACUUACUUACCAUUACAACUAUACAAUAGGCCAGGUUCUUGACUCGGAAGGAAAUAUAAAGAAAAAGAGCUGCUACUGUGGUUCAUCAGAGUGCACUGGGAGGAUGUAUUAGCGAAACUGUGCCACUUGCAUUACACAAUGCAGAUCAAUGAUUUGUGAAAAUUCACUCUAGUUAUGGUAUUUGGAGUUUGCUGAGACUAAUGGAAAGAUUGAAAGAGCCAAUGAAAUCAUCCUGUGAAAUGCUUUCCGUUGUUUUCUCGAACUGAAAAAGGUCUUUCUGCAUCGGAUAGUUCUUUCUGCAUCGGAUCGGGAUCUUCAUUUGGUUGAUCAAUCUUUUCAACAUGUAUAGCAAAACAAAUGGAUCUCCAACAUUGACAUCGAGAUCAAUUCUAAUUACUAGUUUCAGUCUUAAUGAAUCAAUAGAGGGAUCAGCAUUAUUGAAUUUUGAAGUUCCCUGCGAGGGUGGCUAUUGUAAGGGCCUGUUCGGUAGCAGCUUUUUAACUAGCUUUUAGUGUUUUGACUUGGUCAAAACACUAAUUAAGUGUUUGGCAAUGUAAAGGUUAGAGUAGUGUUUAGAGUUUCAAGUAGUGUUUAGGUAGCUUUUGAGAAACGUUAUAAUUGAUAGCGUUCAAGAGAGUUCAGUAGCGUUGCACAAUUUUUUUUAUUUUUUAUUUUUUAAAAAUAAUACAAGAAAUUCCUGAAAAUCACACCUUCUUCCUCGUUCAAUGAAUGUGGAGGAAAUUCUAAAUUUUUCUUGCAAAAGUUCUUUUAAAGUGAAAAUCACCUCUUGGGGUUACUUGAAGUGAGAGAAAACACAAAAAAGAACGAACCUAGGAUGGUGCUUAGUAGUUCUGAUGUCGAGUCUGCUGGCGGAGGCGGUGGUGCUGGUUGUGGUGGUAAUUGUGUCAGCCGCGUCAUCCAUUGAUGGAGGAGAGGAUAAAGAGGGGGAGCAGUGGGCUUCGACGGUGGUGGACACUGGUGGUUUUCAUUUUCUUCAACACUUGAAACCAAUCAAAGGCAGAAAAUUUAAAGCUGAAAAUUUGCAAGAAAGUGUAGUCGGGGAUGAUGACCCUUAUCCUUUCUCAAACAAUUAUUUGAAAGCCAUUGCUAGUGGUUAUAAUACUGUUAA